GUUGUUCCCCCAGCUGUCCCCUUGCCUCAGCCUGGAUUCCCCUUGCAUUCCUGUAGGAUUCCCUUCCAUCCCCCUGGCUGCCCCUUGCUUUCCCCAAGGCUGCCCUUUCCUUUCUCAUGACAGCCCACCCAUCAUUCCCUCAGAGCCCCAAUGUCCCUCCAAGUGUUUCCCAGCAAGACCCCUUGAGACACCCUGUAGCCCCCCACAGAGCCUUGGAGCCCCUCAAGGAACCCCACAGACCCAGUACACCUCCCCCGUAGCUGGCCCAUACCCACAUGGAGCCCCACAGUCCCCAGCAGCACCCCAUGUCCCCCACUGGGCUUCCCCGGAAUCCUUCUAUUUCCUCCCUCAGACCUCCUUUACACCUCCAAGAUCCCCCCUGGGAACUCACUGACCCCCACAGUCCCUGACAGGACCCCAUCACCAUCCCAGGAACCCCAUAGCCCAUCUUUGGCCUCUUUUCCCCCCGACCUGCCUCCAGAUCCCGUAGAACCUCACAGUGCUGUGACAUGGAUGGCUUCUGCAGGUGAGGAAUGAGGAGCUGGAGAAGGUGUAGGGCACAGAUGUGGGUCUCAGAAAGUGAAGUGGGUGGUACUGGGGAUACUGGGGAACACGGAUCAGAACAUGGGAGGAUUUGGGGAGGAUAAGGGGAUGUGGACCACAGCCUACAGGAGCAGAGUGCUUCACAGGAGAAGGCAAGGUGUGAGGUACAGGUGGGACUUGUGGGUGCAGAGACAUGACGUGGCAUGGGUACGUGGGGGGUUUGGGGGCUCGUGGGGAGCGGUUUGGGGUCAGAAUGGGGGAUGUGGAGUGGUGUUGGAGUGCAUUCAUUGAUUUCUUCCUGAGAGGGGAUUGGGGUUCAUUUCGAUCUAAUGUUGAAGCCCUGAUCAGUAACCCCACAUGAGCCCAGAACCCCAGAAAAGUCCGCGUGACCACAAGGCUCCACAUGUCCCAUAACCCUGUGAGCACUGUAACCCCAUAUGAGGCUGUGGGCAGGGAUAGGUCUGUUCCUGCAUUGUUCAGGGGGGUACUAUAAGGUGGCUCUGGGGCCGC
ensembl:lncRNA